rnacentral:lncRNA from 1 species
UAGGCCCCAUUCUUACACUGGGGAUCAGAUUUCAACAUGAAGUUUGGAGGUGGUCAAACAAACCAAAUGAUAACAGAAAUACUCUGUCAAAGUCAGAGUUGACAAAAAUAAAAUGGACUAUAUUGUGAUUAGUUGUUGUUUGGGUACUAAGCUGGAGAAAAUUUCAGUUAAUUAACAGGUUGUAGUGUUUUGUGGCUUUGUUUCUUUUCUAUUCAUUACAACUCGUUUACCUGGUAGUUUUUGACUGAUAUGCUCAACUUGACUAAUUAUUUUUGAAACUGUGAAGAUGCAUCACAGUCAAUAUAAAUAUGUUCACUAUAAUGUAAGUCCUCUUUUCAUAGUAAAAUUGAUGUAAGAUGGCAUAGUCAUUCUUCAUUCAGUACAGUUUGCUUGAAGAUAUCUCUAUUAACAAGAGCAUUUUACCUUCGCCUAGAUUUCAGAUGCUUUGGUAAUUUGUACUGUGCUUAAAUAAAGCACAUCCUGGCAUGAAAAUGAAUGAGUGCCUCCUGGCACUUAGUGCGUGUAUUCCUCAGAGUUUAUGAUAAUUAGGAUGCUUGUUUAAUUGCUGUCCCUUUAUUUCCACUGGGUGGUGGGAGCUAAAGAGCAGCUUUCAAACCAUGUGUGUUACAUACAUAGGUAAUUUAUAAACUCAUUUUGCUGUUGUGAGCACAGGAAAAAAAAUCCUGAAUGUCAAUAAGCCAAUGUUGUAAUUAUUUUAUCCCCACCAUGACUGCUGAUGGUACCUUUGUUUUCGCUUCUUGGACAGGAAGGAUGGGCCUUUGAGUUACUACCCGUAAGGAUUGAGUCAUUUGAGCCAUGGUUCAUGGCUAAGGCCCCAAAACAGAAGACAGAUUAAAAAGACAAAACUAUACAAAUUUAUUUAAUACAAGUUUUACAUGACUUGGGGGGCCUUAAUAAGGAAAUGAAGACCCAGAGAAAGAGGUAAACCUGUGUAUUUUUUAUGCUUAGGUUUGAUGAAGAGUAGACAGCUGUGCAGAAGUAUGAAUGGAAAACUCUGAAUACUGUUAGUGUCUUUACUUCCUAAGAGAAUACAGCAAGUGGAAUGAAUAUUAACUUUGAAUCAGAAAAACUUGUGCUUUUAUCUUGACUUGGCAAUUGACUGACCAUGUAAUUCUGGCCAAGUGACUCUGAGAUGUAAAAAUUUCUUUUUUGCUAAUUAGCUCUAAUUUAUAAGGUGCAAGAAACCAAUUAGGUUAUAAUGUUCACUUUAUGGAAGUCAUUUUUGUUCACUAUGUGUUACAUUACUGCUAAAGUACCACAUAAUUAACCAUUUGUUCCCUUCUUGAUUCAGUGCUUUUUAUAAGAUCCACAAUAAAUUAACAGUGCCGAAUCCUGUAUUUCAGUGCAGAAAAGUAAAGUGAACUUUCUCCAGAAAAGCCAUUUAUAGGAACUGUGGAAUCUUAAAGAGUUGAGUUAUAUUAAAGACACAUUACAUUUGAAAUGAAUGCAUAUUCAAUCUUACGAACCUAGGGUAAUGCCCACUGUAAACACUAUUGGAAACCUUCAGUCAACAACUCUUUGAUGCCACUAAUAAACUGGCAGUAACAUGGAUUCAUUCAAAUUUGUUUCCAUCUUUUAUCAGUAUUUCACAAAUAUUGUGAAAUAAUAUUGUGAAAUAUUCACAAAUAUUGUGAAAUAAAACAAUCUCAGUAGCCAUAGGUGUGAUGUUUAUGAGCUGUAUUCCCCUAACCCAUGGCCCAAACUUCUACUUUAAUUCUUUAACAGAUAUUUUUCAAACUUAAUAUACAUUAAUGCUUUUCAAGUGAGCAGGGAAUUGACAUUUACUGUUUAUUAGAUGUCUUACAUGCAUUAUCUCAUUUAAUUUUGUAGCAACUCGAUGAGAUAGAUAUGUUAUACCUCCUUUGCAAAUAAGAAACUGCGUCUCAGAGUAUGCUAUAAUUUGAAUGUUUGUCCCCUCCAAAACUCAUAUUGAAACUUAAUCCACAUUGUGGCAGUACUGAGAAGUGGGGCCUUGAAGAAGUCAUUGGGUCACGACAGUGCUGCCUUCAUGAAUGGAUUCAUCCAUUUGUGGAUUAAUGGGUUACCAUCAAAGUGGGACUGGUGGCUUUAUAAGAAGAGGAAGAGAGACCUGAGCUAGCCUACCCAGCUCCCUCAUUAUAUGAUGCCCUGAGCCAUCUCAGGUCUCUGCAGGAAAUCCCCACAAGUAAGAAGGCCCUCACCAGAUGUGGCCCCUUGACCUUGUAUUUCUUAGCUUCUAUAACUGGGAGAAGUAAGUUUAUUUGACUUAUAAAUUACCCAGUUUCAAAUAUUCUGUUAUAAAUGAUGGAAAAUGAGCCAAGAUAAUUAGUACUGAGAAGUGGUAUGUUGCUGAUAAUAAAUAUGUAAAAUGCAGAAGCAGCUUUGGAACUGGGUAAUGGGCUGCAGCUACAAGAGUUUGAAGGAGCAGGCUAGAAAAUGCUUAUAUUCAGGGCAGGGCUUAGAAGAUAAGA